GAUGAACGCUGGCGGCGUGCCUAAUACAUGCAAGUCGAGCGAACAGACGAGGAGCUUGUGCUAUUGCCGUUAGCGGCGGACGGGCGAGUAACACGCGGGUAACCUACCUAUAAGACUGGGAUAACCACGCGAAACCGGAGCUAAUAAAGGAAAAUAUUUAGCAUCGCAUGGUUUGAUCAUAAAAGAUGACUUUUCUAUCAAUACUAGAUGGACCUGGGCCGUAUUAACUAGUUGGUAAGGUAACGGCUUACCAAGGUAGCGAUACGUAGCCGACCUGAGAGAGAGAUCGGCCACACAGGAACUGACACACAGUCCAGACACAUACGUGAGGCAGGAAUAAGUGAUCAACCGCGGUGGGCGGAAGCGUGACUGAGCCACGCAGCGUGAGUGAAGAAUGUCUGCGGUUCGUAAUGCUCUGUUAUUAUGUAAGAACAAACGUGUAAGUAAGUGUGCACGUCUUGACGUUACCUAUGCAGAAAGCCACGCCGAACUACGU
rnacentral:rRNA from 1 species